rnacentral:rRNA from 1 species
UUUAUGGAGAGUUUGAUCCUGGCUCAGGAUGAACGCUGGCGGCGUGCCUAAUACAUGCAAGUCGAGCGAACGGACGAGAAGCUUGCUUCUCUGAUGUUAGCGGCGGACGGGUGAGUAACACGUGGAUAACCUACCUAUAAGACUGGGAUAACUUCGGGAAACCGGAGCUAAUACCGGAUAAUAUUUUGAACCGCAUGGUUCAAAAGUGAAAGACGGUCUUGCUGUCACUUAUAGAUGGAUCCGCGCUGCAUUAGCUAGUUGGUAAGGUAACGGCUUACCAAGGCAACGAUGCAUAGCCGACCUGAGAGGGUGAUCGGCCACACUGGAACUGAGACACGGUCCAGACUCCUACGGGAGGCAGCAGUAGGGAAUCUUCCGCAAUGGGCGAAAGCCUGACGGAGCAACGCCGCGUGAGUGAUGAAGGUCUUCGGAUCGUAAAACUCUGUUAUUAGGGAAGAACAUAUGUGUAAGUAACUGUGCACAUCUUGACGGUACCUAAUCAGAAAGCCACGGCUAACUACGUGCCAGCAGCCGCGGUAAUACGUAGGUGGCAAGCGUUAUCCGGAAUUAUUGGGCGUAAAGCGCGCGUAGGCGGUUUUUUAAGUCUGAUGUGAAAGCCCACGGCUCAACCGUGGAGGGUCAUUGGAAACUGGAAAACUUGAGUGCAGAAGAGGAAAGUGGAAUUCCAUGUGUAGCGGUGAAAUGCGCAGAGAUAUGGAGGAACACCAGUGGCGAAGGCGACUUUCUGGUCUGUAACUGACGCUGAUGUGCGAAAGCGUGGGGAUCAAACAGGAUUAGAUACCCUGGUAGUCCACGCCGUAAACGAUGAGUGCUAAGUGUUAGGGGGUUUCCGCCCCUUAGUGCUGCAGCUAACGCAUUAAGCACUCCGCCUGGGGAGUACGACCGCAAGGUUGAAACUCAAAGGAAUUGACGGGGACCCGCACAAGCGGUGGAGCAUGUGGUUUAAUUCGAAGCAACGCGAAGAACCUUACCAAAUCUUGACAUCCUUUGACAACUCUAGAGAUAGAGCCUUCCCCUUCGGGGGACAAAGUGACAGGUGGUGCAUGGUUGUCGUCAGCUCGUGUCGUGAGAUGUUGGGUUAAGUCCCGCAACGAGCGCAACCCUUAAGCUUAGUUGCCAUCAUUAAGUUGGGCACUCUAAGUUGACUGCCGGUGACAAACCGGAGGAAGGUGGGGAUGACGUCAAAUCAUCAUGCCCCUUAUGAUUUGGGCUACACACGUGCUACAAUGGACAAUACAAAGGGCAGCGAAACCGCGAGGUCAAGCAAAUCCCAUAAA